UCGCUUGAACAUUCAUUCAUCGUCCAAUAAAGCGGCGAAUAGCAGACAAAAACGCCGAGCAAUUAGUUCAUUUUUCACGAUCCUUUCUGAAUUUACUUUGUUUCUCACCUAAAAGAAGUAGCAAGGGUUGUGUUUUUAGCUGUUGCGAAAAAAAUACGCACAAAAGGCAAACAAUACAAAGUGUUGUGAUUUAAAAUAUAAUAUAAAGCAAUUGACGCACAAAGUUCGGAAGAACAACAAAAUUUGAAAAAUGGAGAACCCAAAUGAAUUUCCGGCACCAUCUGGAUCAACAACUGAUUUUCCUGUUUUACCCCCGCCUCCGAACUCUGCCAGUCCCAGCAAUAAUAAUCAAGGGCAGAAGCGACUUCAACAAACCCAAGCCAAGGUCGAAGAGGUGGUCGGUAUUAUGCGCGUGAAUGUGGAAAAGGUUCUGGAGCGCGAUCAGAAGCUAUCGGAACUGGGUGAGCGUGCUGAUGCGCUGGAAGCCGGUGCCUCGCAAUUCGAACAACAAGCUGGCAAGUUGAAACGCAAACAAUGGUGGGCCAACAUGAAAAUGAUGAUAAUUAUGGGUGUGAUCGGUGUGGUUCUCUUAAUUAUCAUAAUCGUUAUGCUCUUUUAUUAACCGGUACCAAUUAGCAGUUGAAGAUCAACAUUUUAAAUAUAUAUAUGUAUGUUCUCUAUAAGUGUGUGUUUUUGUCUAUACAUGUAUGUGUCCAGUGUUUUCAGUUUCUUUAAUUAAGCAUUUUUGAAUUAAAAAGCGGUAAAUAGUUGUUUAAGUAGGAAAAGUAAAAGUUUGCACCGACGCAAUACGUCUGAAAGCCAUUUUAUUUAAAGUUAUCCUUCCUGCCAUCUGGCAGUAGCAGCUCUGAUUCACAUAACCAAAUUCAAAACACGGCAUCACCUUAAAAAGCUCAGACCGUAGUGGCCUUAUGAUGAUUCCUUGUUGUUUUGAUUGAAAGCAUUGUACGUGGUUUUUAAAAAAUGCACAAAAUGCCAGCGCACAAUCAAUAUGCAUUGGAUCGUUUCUUUAAUAUACAGUUCUAACUGAAUGUCUUUAAACAGUAUACAAAAAAAAAAAAACAAAAAAAAAA